rnacentral:rRNA from 1 species
AUGUCAAGCUCAAUUUCAUCCGAGGAGCAGCGGAAGGCGAUGAUGGCUGAUCCGGCCGUAAUUGACGAUGAUGCAGCCAGCGCGGUGCAGCAGAAGGAGGUGAUAAAGAAGAAGACGAAGAAGAAGACUUUUCGGCUGCCAGACGACGAGUUGGAGCUAAUCUUGGCUUUCAAGCCAUCCGUACAUUACCCUGAUCCCAUCUUCUCCCCGGUGCUAGAGGAGAAGCUGCCCGACACCGUUCGGGGAGUGCGGGCCACCAUGGCGAAGGCUGAUGCGCUGUUGGAAAAGAACCAUGAUUCAAUAAGCUCUGAGCAUGCGAGGAUUCAGGCGGAGUACCAGGCUAAAGGGUAUGCUGCUUACCAAGCCGAGGUCACCGACGACGAGGAAGAAAUCAUUCAAGUUCCUAGACGUGGACGGAGAAGACACCGGCCUGGAGUAGUGAAGCGUAAAGGAGAGAUCAAGAAGAUAAAUUAA